rnacentral:lncRNA from 1 species
AUGAGAUUUAUGAAACCGCAAAAGGAACCUGAUCGGUGGGGGGUAGACUGCAAAGAGUGCUGGCCUGCAGCAGCAGAAUGGGCGCCUGGGGAGCAAGCGCUCACAAUGGGCCUCUCAGCACCCAGACAGCAACACACACAGAAUGAGGAGGACAGAGAGGGGGAGCAGGACGAGGAGAAGGAGUAUUGUUGUCACCAUACAGAUGUCCAGGUUGAAGGUAUGAUAUCUGUAUACGAAGCUCAGAGAGCGCACCUGUAGGUCAUCACACAGCUUAGAAGAGUGAAAAACUGACAGAAUGAAAGAGAGACAGUGGAUUCUCAUAAGAAAUGUAUAUUAGUGAGAACAGCAGAUAUUUACUGAGGCCAGAAGGCACAUUCUGUCCUUUUGUGUGUUUGGAAGUCAUACUUACCCAUUGAGACUCAGUGCAGGUGUGUUGACUGAAGACACAAUAGAAACAUUUGUCAUUUUGGUAUAACAAAUCUCUUAUAAUCAUUGUUUUGUUUUUUUUUUGUUUUUUUUUGUUUUUUUGAGAAAUUUGAGUGAUCAAUGAUUUUUCUAGCAUUGGGAAAGCUACUUAGAAACUCUACAAAGAGAAAAAAAUCUAUUGAGUUUCUUUUGAAAUUUCUUAGAAAAAGUAAAAAUGUACCAUAAAACAAAUAAAUCACAGUAAAACUAUAUAGAUAUAAACAAGUGUGUAUAGGAAUGGAAUGGAGCUCAAUUUAUAUAAAAGGAAUUAAAUGCAUAAAUACUUUUUAUAAAUUAAUUUUUAUUUCCAAAUUGUAUUGAUGCAAAAGUGACAUUGCUAUUUAAUAAAAAACAAACAAACAAAAAAAAAUAUUUCAAAUAAAUGCUGUUUUGCACUUUCUAUUCACUAAAGAAUCACAGUUUCCAUAAAGUAUUUAGCAGUAAAAGGGUUUUCAACAUUGAUAAUGAUAAGAAAUGUUUCUUGAGCAGCAAAUCAGCAUAUUAGAAUGAUUUCUGAAGGAUCAUGACUCUAAAGACUGGUGUAGUGAUGCUGACAUUUCAGUGUUGCAUCAAGGAAUAAAUUACAUUUUAAAGCAUAUAUAUAUAUAUAUAUAUAUAUAUAUAUAUAUA